rnacentral:snoRNA from 1 species
UCGCUUAAUGAUGAUUACCCUUUUAAUUAUUGCUUGGCAGUGUAUUACAAAUAAUGAUUAAUAUAAAAUUAACUGAUUCGC